GAUCAUGGCUCAGGAUGAACGCUAGCUACAGGCUUAACACAUGCAAGUCGAGGGGAAACGACAUCGAAAGCUUGCUUUUGAUGGGCGUCGACCGGCGCACGGGUGAGUAACGCGUAUCCAACCUGCCCAUCACUUGGGAAUAACCUUGCGAAAGUAAGACUAAUGCCCAAUUACAUCCCACGAAGGCAUCCGAAUGGGAUUAAAGAUUUAUCGGUGAUGGAUGGGAAUGCGU
rnacentral:rRNA from 1 species